rnacentral:lncRNA from 1 species
UCAAAACAGGUCAUGAAUUCCAAGUGAACGGACACCGUUUGAAGCCAUAUUAUGAGAAUUUUGUUGAACAAACCGUGGAGGAUAUUUCUUUGGGAGCCGUGGGCACAAAUGGAGAAUGAUUGGGCUUUUCGUCCGGCUGUACGACGUUAAAGAAAGCGCUACUUGGGAGGCAACCCAUGCAAUUCAACAAAGGAAGACCAAGGAAUUACUCCAAUUCCAGAUUUGCGUUCCUAAACUCUUCACUUUGUUCUUUAUUUCGAAUCUGCCUAUUUAGUUGUUUUAGUUGCUGUUUGUGUGUUUCUUUUUGUUUAGUGUGAUUUUAUGCUUGAAACAUUGAGGACAAUGUUUGAUUUAAGUGUGGGGGGGUAACUAAGUGUUUUAGAUGCAAAUUCGUGGGAUUUUAUCACCCUUAACUUGGAGACUUGUUCCUUGCUGUUUUUAAGUGUUUUUGAGCAGUUUUGGUGUGUUUUAGUGUGUUUUGAUGCAAAAAUCCGAAAAUCACAUAAAAAUUUUGAAAAUUUGUUUUAAAAAACCCAAAAAGAGUUGUUUUUGUGUGUUUGUUGUGUCUUAGGGUACCUUCCAACACAAUGAUGAGGAUUUGGUUUUUAAUUGCAUGACUGUUAAAGAGAGUGAUUAACAUGGAUGAAAGUUUGAUUUACUCUUUGUUUAUGUUUGGUUGUGGUUAUAACUUAUGAAUUCACAUGCAAUCAUAAAAGAAAAAAAUCAGUUUUUGUAACAUGCUUGAAGGAAGGAACUCAAACUAACGCUACAACCUUGUGAGACUUGAGCCUAAACGUUUAUUUGGAGAGUUAAAAUCUGUGUAUUCUUUGUUUUCUAAAGUCGUUGCAUGAUCUCAUUAUUCUUUGCGUGGUUGCUACUUAGAAGGCGUUUCAUCAUUUAGUUCCAAAUGCUAGAACUCAUGCCCAUUUCAUUCAAAGCAUGUUAUUGAUUUGCAUAACACACAUUCAAGAUGAAGUUGUGUAGUGACCAUCACCUUAGCCAAAAAGCCGUAAAUCCCCUCUGUUAUUAUGUUUUGUAGGUUUUUAACCCCGUUGAGCCUUGUUUAACCUAUUCUUUGUUAACCCAUGUUUUCCUCACCUAGCCUAGAUUAGGACCAUCCAUACCCUUGUUCUUAAAGCAUAGUAAAGCAUGAUUCAAAUUGAAUUCCUUUUGAUUUAUGUGGGCAGAAAAUAAGUGUGGGGGAAGUGUUUUUCAUGAGGAAUUGUGUGCCAAAGGCACGGCAAAGAAAAGAAAAAAAAAAUGAAAUUCGUGGAAAAAGAAAAAGAAAAAGAAAAGUGUGUGAAAAGAAUGAAAAGGAGUUGAAAAGAUGUGAAAAAGAGUCUCAAAGUAUUGUUUGUUGAAGAAAGGGGUCCAAAACUUUGAAUUCGGCCCUAAAUAUUGCUUGAAUCCUCCCUUCGUGUUUAAAAGUUGAUUUCUGCAAUCUAAGUGAAUUCUAAGUCUCAAUUUCAUUGCUUUGCUUACUAUUGCUUGAAGAACGUUUGUUUUCCAUAUCCGUUUUUGUUAGCCAAUACCUUAAGCCCCAUUACAACCCUUAACUUCUAUCUUGAGUGUUAUGUGUUUCAAUUUGUGGAGUUUGAAUUUGGUA